CUUCUAGAAAGUCAGCCUCUGGCUUGCUGGCGGACUUGUUCUUUGGGUUUGGCCAAACAGCGAAGGUAAAAUUAUCAGCCAGUGAUUCAGAGUCAUCAUGAAGAAGGAGUCAUCAGAGUGUCAUCAGAAAGCCAAUGGUGUGGAAUCUCAACCAAUAAAUGAAGCAAGAAAACAAAAAUGAGAAAAACCAUCACUUGGUAACUAACAGCCAUAACAACUCAGGAAGGAAGCAACAUUCCCUUUUAUGAUGACCAAUACAGGCAGGUUGAAGGAACCAACCUAGAAAAGCCAUGUACACUGAAGACAGGAAGUGGCUGUCAUCUCCUGUGCUGGUCCAUCCUCACCCUCCCCGUUGCCAUCUCCAUCUUCCUGUGACCCCCGACUUAGUCCUUUCUGAGACUUUUGAUAAGGCUAUAAUCCAAUGUCACUCACGAAUGGGUGUAUAUACUUCCAAAUCUUUCCAGUUUCUUUGUAUGUAUUUGUUCAAAAUAUAGGUUGAAAUAGCAAAUAAUCUACUUUGAAAUGGCUUAUAACCUUGCAUAGAUAGAAACAAGGCAACUCAGGAUAUUUCUUAUGAAUGUAUACAUUUAACAACACAGAAAAUAUCUAGCUUUUAUUAGAGUUCUACAGAUUGCAGGCACUCCACAAGGCUCGUUGUACAAUUCAUUUAGCUUCGGUUUGUUUCAAGAGGGUUUUUAUGUCCAUUUGACAAAUGGGGAAAAGAAAAAUGAGGCUCUGGAGGUGUAAACAGCAGUGAAUGGGGAAGCUUUAUUUUGUACCAACUUCUAAACAACCCCAGAGUCCAUGCUGUUUCCACCAUCUAAGGGCUGAACUCACCGUGUGGAACCGAGAUUAUAGGCUACAAGGAAAUUCCUAAGGUAUGUUCUGAAACUCCAAGAGCCCAGUAACGGGGAGAGUCAGUUGAAAAGUAUGACCAGAACAAACAAAUGCCACUUCACUGUGUGGCCUGGCCAAGGCAAUCAGUAUUAACCAGAGCUCGUCUUGAGUGGCAGUGGUUCUGAGGAACAGCUCAUCCUACAGCUUGUGUGUGUGUCAUGAAUUUUGAAUUAAAGAAAGGCAGUACUGGAGCUGGGAGAUGGCCCAGUGGGUAAAAGUGCUUGUUCAGCAUGUGGAUCUGAGCUCAGACCCCCAGCAGCCACAUAAAAAGCUGGGAAUGGUGACAUGCAUUUGUAACCCCAGUGUUGUAGGGGCAGAGGCAUGCAGAUCCCAGAUACUGGCCAGUUAGUUUGGACAGCUGGUGAGCCCAGGUUCAGUGAGAAGCCCUGCUUCAAAGGAUACGAUGGUGAGCAAUGGAGGAAAACAGCUAACUUCCACCUCUGACCUCCACACAUGUAUGCAUUGGCAUGUGCAUAUACAGUCAACAUGUGUGCACACAUUCAUAUAUCACACACAAUAGUAGAGGGGCAGUAUUCCAAUUCUAUACUGCUGCCAUUUUUAUCAUGUGGAAACUCAGAAGACACUAGGAGAUAGUGGAUGGGGCAGGAGGACACUGUUUUGUUUUGUUUUUUCUCUUUGAUCAGUUUCUGGCUGGAGGCCUCAAGGAGACCAGCUAACACACACUUUCAUAAAUAUGGAGUCAGAGAGCUGAGGGUCAGGAUUAGUACCCGUGGAUGGAUCUAAGAAUGAAGGAUCUUGAAUGUGCUAGGCUUGGUGGAGUCAACCACUGCGUGCAGAUUGAUUUUUUUCCCCCUAAGGAUGUAAUGUCUUCCUUUUCUCCUCCAGGUUGCCUGGCUACAAGCAUUCCUUUGCCCAUGGUCACAAUACUCCAACAUGUUUAUGUCCAACUGUUGUCUACAGCUAUGAUGGUGGCCUCCCUGGUGGAAAGGGAAUACACUCCAAGAGGAUUUAGGCCCAGCAGGAUGGAGUUCAGACUCUGGGCGCCAUAGCUGUGAAAGAAGACAUUUCUACUGCUUUUAGUCACUAUUCUAGUUUGGUUUCUGUUGCUGUGAUAAAACAAUAACCAAAAGUAACUUGGGGAACAAAGAGUUUAUUUGGCUUACACUUCCAUGUCAUGAAGAGAUUAUCUGACUUACAUUUCUAUGUCACAGUCUAUCAUCAUGGUGUCACAGGCUGACACCAUGUCACAUUUUGAGUUCCAGGGUAGGAGCUCAAGCCAAGGACUGACUGGCUGACUUCCCAAGGUUGCUCAGCUUGCACACAAGCCUAGACCACCUGCCCAAGGGUGAAACCACCACAGUGGUUGGAUCAUCCAUCUCAUACCAAUUAUCAAUCAAGAACAUGCCUAUAGCCUGCCUAUAGCCUAAUGUUAUGGAGGCGUUUUCUCAACCAAGCUUCUCUCUUUUUAGAAGUUAGUUUUCGUUUGUGUCAAGUUGACAGAAACUAACCAGUAAAGCCACCCUGUGUUGGCACGGGAACUGAGUACAGGGAGAGGGAAUGAGCCACCCUCACUAAAAUGGGAAUGAACUCUGUCUGCCUUUCCGUAGAAGGAGCCAGACAUUCUAACAGAACACUUUCAACUAUUCAAAGCCAUUGGGCCAAGACCUGUCAGUCAGUUUUAAGUUUGAACAAUGAACUUGUGACUAAGUGACAAUACAAUAAACACCGCAUAUGAAAAAACACUCUCCAACAUAAUUCAGCAAAGUAUAAUGCAAAGCAAACUUGCUGAAAGAAAAAUACUGACAGAAAAUGACCAUGACAAGUGAGACCGGUGCCACUGAGCCAGUGAGCCCAAGGAGGCACACAAUGAGUGAGGCAGGAGCAUGGAUGAUAGGAAUACUGCUCCCUCCCUACUCAGCAGAUCCAAAGACAAAAGCCUAAUGGGACAUUAAGCUGAUUUUAUUCUCCAAUAAUUGUAAUAAAUUAAUUUCCAGUCA